rnacentral:rRNA from 1 species
UUGGUAAUGUGCGAAAGCGCGAACCAGCAACGCCGCGUGCACGAUGAAGGCCUUCGGGUCGUAAAGUGCUUUUAGAGAGGAUGAGGAAGGACAGUACUUUCUGAAUAAGCCUCGGCUAACUACGUGCCAGCAGCCGCGGUAAAACGUAGGAGGCUAGCGUUAUCCGGAUUUACUGGGCGUAAAGCGCAUGCAGGUGGUUUUGUAAGUUGGAUGUGAAAGCUCCUGGCGUAACUGGGAGAGGUCGUACAAAACUACAAGACUUGGGAUUGGUAGAGGAAAAUGGAAUUCCGGGUGUAAUGGUGAAAUGCGUAGAUAUCCGGAGGAACACCAGUGGCGAAAGCGGUUUUCUGGACCAAUUCUGACACUCAGAUGCGAAAGCUAAGGUAGCAAACG